CACCGGCAGCUCUAGUGGUAACAAUUUUUAUUGGGCCCUAAAGCGUCCGUAGCCGGUUUAAUAAGUCUCUGGUGAAAUCCUGUAGCUUAACUGUGGGAAUUGCUGGAGAUACUAUUAGACUUGAGACCGGGAGAGGUUAGAGGUACUCCCAGGGUAGAGGUGAAAUUCUGUAAUCCUGGGAGGACCGCCUGUUGCGAAGGCGUCUAACUGGAACGGUACUGACGGUGAGGCACGAAAGCGUGGGGAGCAAACAGGAUUAGAUACCCUGGUAGUCCCUGAGCGGGCU
rnacentral:rRNA from 1 species